GGGGAUUUAGCUCAGCAGUAGAGUGCUUGCCUAGCAAGCUCAAGGCCCUGGGUUCGAUCCCCAGCUCCG
rnacentral:tRNA from 1 species